UACGUAGGGGGGCAAGCGUUGUCCGGAUUUAUUGGGCGUAAAGAGCGUGUAGGCGGCCAUGCAGGUCCGUUGUGAAAACUGGAGGCUUAACCUCCAGACGUCGAUGGAAACCGUAUGGCCUAGAGUCCGGAAGAGGAGAGUGGAAUUCCUGGUGUAGCGGUGAAAUGCGCAGAUAUCAGGAAGAACACCCGUGGCGAAGGCGGCUCUCUGGGACGGUACUGACGCUGAGACGCGAAAGCGUGGGGAGCAAACAGG
rnacentral:rRNA from 1 species